CUCAAUUCAUAGUCAUGUACUAUUUUUAUCUUUUAUUCAAAAUUUUAAUAUUUUUUCUAAAUUUUAAAUUUUUAAAAUUUUAACAUUAAAACAUAUUUAAUAAAUUAUUGAAUAGUGUGUGACGAUGGAUGGAUGGAUGGAUGAAGUGUCGUUGGAGAGCUGCUCAUUGAAAUCUGAAAAAAAUUUCAAAUAUCACCCAUGUAGUUUCAUAUUUUUUAUUUUAGUAUUUUGUGAUUUAAAGUAUAUCAAUUUAGUAUCUUAUGGUUUUAUUUUUCUCUUUUAUUAUUUUUUUACUAUUUUUUUUAUUAAAUCAGUGACAAAAUUAAAAUUAAAAAAUAUUAAAAUGAAUAUUCAACAAACCUAACUAGGUCGGAUAUCUGAACUUUUUUAUAUAUAAUAAUUUAAUAAAAUAUUAACAAAAAACCUAAUCAAAAAAAUAAAACAAAACUAUAUAUUACUAAAUUUAUGCAGUUUAAAAAACUGUAUUUGAAGUUUAUCUU
rnacentral:lncRNA from 1 species